CUCAAACCUACUAACCUCCUGAAGGCUACACCUCAAAUACGGAUUGAAUUUUCGCAUGAGUUUUGAGGGACACCCAUUCAAAGCAUAGCACCCUUCGGCUUCAGAGAAGCUCCAGCCCUGUUGUCACCAAGCAGGUUCCCCCUAGGCAGAGCGCCAAGAAGCAGCCCAGGCGAUCCCAAGGCGCACAAGUGCUCUCACCAGGCUGCGCGCUGGCGGGUCGGUGCACAGGGACGGGGUCGCCGCCCACGCGCGCUUGGUUCAGGGAGCCCAGGCUGUCCCUACCCGCGGCUACAAAAGCUCGCCGAGUCUUCCUGUCCACCCAAUCGCCCCACAUGUCAGCGGUUGGUCGCCUCGCGGUGCAGUGCUGGGCACGCGAGCCCCUCCCGCAGUCAUUCUCAGCACAAGCACCAGCCUGGAGCCCCGCAGCGACAGAGCUGAGAGCCCCCAAGCCGCAGAGGUCGUGCGGAGCAGGCCUAAGGCAAUAGCUAAUUGAGACUAUGCAUCACUAUUAAGGCAUCUUCACUAAAGGGCGCUGUGGAAACGCUGCCUGAGAUGCAGACACCUGUCAGAAGGGGGCUAAAUUUCAAACAAGGAACGUGGUGUUGCAUCACAAUAAAGUAGAUUCUAGUAUUACCUUCCUUUUUCAGAAGAGGAGACCAAUGGGGAGCAUUGGAAUGAUUUGGUUGCAAGCAUACUACACUACUUGUAAACUGCAGACACAGGCUUAAAAAAAGUGAAAAACUAACCAUGCAAUAAAGAAUGGAAUGAACCAUGAAGCUGUUUCUGUGGCCAGUCAUGUUUUUGAAGCAUAUCCCAUGCUAAUUUCUAGAACAGAAGAAACACACGUGUUCUUGUGUGUAAACCCAGUCCAUGGAAGAGACCGUCUGCUUGUCCCUCCUGAUCUCUGGGCCCAGACAACCAGUAGUCACCAUUCCAAGUGAGGGGUGGCUGCAACUCUACAGCCCCGUUCGUCUCUCCUCACUGUCAAAGCUGCUGAGACCCCAGACUCGACACUUGAAAGAAACCCAUGUCUGUGAAGCACUUGUGGACCAUUCAAGAUUGUGGAAGAAUCACUCAAGAGAAGGAGAUAGCAAUAUUUGCAGAUAUGCAAACUGGCCCCUUGCAUGCACAUCCUGGAGCACGUCCUGGAGCCUUUAGAGGAGACGGCUGCUGCUGUUCCAGUCUCUCCUUAGGCAGACUUGAGUUUCUACCCACUCUUCCCAAGCAGCCGCCCCUCCGCACCCGAGCGAGCCAAAGACCUGGCGGGCUGAGUACUCACUGCGCGCUGGACACAUGCUGAGCCGGCACUGCAGGGACACAGGGCGAGCCGCUGGAUGCAGACCUGUGGCCGCGGCAGUUGGGCUUAUCUUGCCCAUGAAGUUGCCUCUGAAGAACCAAGUCCAACUGUGUAUGCUGAGAGAUGUCUGGCUACUUCCUGAUUGACAGUUCUGGCAAGGUGGCAUUGGGCCCUGGCUUUUCCUCUGGAGGCAUCAUCACUUAUAGGAAAAUGUCCCCUGAAGUCCAAGGAUCAAAGCUGCUGGAACACUGAGAAGCUGAACAAAGGAGAACUGUUUCUCAUCAAACCCAGACUUCCAGACUUCCAAUAGGGUAGAAUGAGCAAGUCAGCAAAUCAUCUUCCUUGGAAACAGUGAUAAAACUAGAUGACAUUGUCAACAACAGCCAUUUCAGAAAUCUAGAAAAUGACCAAAGGCAAACAACAAACUGAGAAGCAUUUUUUUUUCCAUGAAAAAUCGCUCUAUUUCUGCAAAAAUAGUGGGAGUCUAUGGCUUCUCAUCCAGGGCUGUUUCUCUCCCCACCCCAGCUCAGUCAGUACAAAGGUUCUGGCAGCAUGAGGCAGACUGAACAGACCUGAAGUUUGAUUGCUGGAAGAAACUGACUCCAGGUUUGGCAGAGGGUGAGAAACCUACUCCCAGCCAUGUUGUCUGGUGACACAGUGACCUUAGGGACAAGUGAAUAGGGAAGGCCAGUGAUUCAUUAACCUGAGGUUGCAGUCCUGGUUGGGGAAAGCAUCAGAAUGGCAGAUAAGCUAGAAAUUUAGUAGGGAUAUGCUGGAAAUGAGACAACCCCAAAGGGGCUUGACCCCAAAGUUGUCCACACACCCCAGCUGCCUUCUGAGCAGAUGUAGGGAGAGACCAGAGAAGGCCUAGGCUAUCCACACAUCUCUGGCUAACCCAGGCUGUAAACCUGUGGAGGAGACACAAGAGGUGGAUUGAUUGCUAAUGGGCAUAUGGGGGAUCUUACUGGUUGAUAGGAACAUUCUCAAAUUGGAUUGUGGUGAUGCUUGCACAACUCUAAGUUUAUCCCAAAUUGCUAAAUUUUACACUAAAAAGGGGUGAACUUUAGGGUAUAUAAAUUAUACAUCAAUAAAGUUGUCAUAAAGCAUUCACAUUCUAAUAAAUG
rnacentral:lncRNA from 1 species